rnacentral:rRNA from 1 species
GACAGGGGAUGCAAGCGUUAUCCGGAAUGAUUGGGCGUAAAGCGUCUGUAGGUGGCUUUUCAAGUCCGCCGUCAAAUCCCAGGGCUCAACCCUGGACAGGCGGUGGAAACUAGCAAGCUGGAGUACGGUAGGGGCAGAGGGAAUUUCCGGUGGAGCGGUGAAAUGCGUAGAGAUCGGAAAGAACACCAACGGCGAAAGCGCUCUUCUGGGCCGACACUGACACUGAGGGACGAAAGCUAGGGGAGCGAAUGGG